AAAAUCCGUCGACUUUUAAAAAUCGUGAAGG
rnacentral:tRNA from 3 species